UGAUUGGUUGAUACAAAUUGCUUCCCAUAUAAGAGCUGCCUCCACCACUGCUUCAUCGUUACAUUCUCUGUUUUUUUUUUUUUUUUUUUUGUGUGUGGUCUCGUUAGCCAUAGCGCUGAAUUGGCCAGUAGAACCCAUGCAGGAUGUGUGGUUUCACUAGAAUACAACUUUGGCUGGCUUUGCUGGUUCUUGUCAUUGCUUUCCAUAAUGGCAGCAUUGCAAAUGGGUGGCAUUCGGCCUCCCCUGGCUCCACAAAAGGAGGCAGCGGUACAUAUGACCAGUACUUUGCCAGUUCUGGUGUAGAUGAGCCAUACGAGGCAGGGACUGCUCAAGUAAGACCUAGCCACAGUGGGACUUCCUACUCUAGUGCAGCUCUUGGCAGUUCUCAAUCUGGAUACAGUGGACCCUACACAUCAUUUCAGAGUGGAUCCUCUUUGGGGCCUGUGGACAAGGCUGUUCAACAUAGACCCAAGCCUCUGUUUCCUUCCCAAACCGCUCCCACCGGAAGCAAACCCAUGCAGAGGAACUACCAGACAGACUACAGCAGGCACUCUGAUUCCAUGACUAAAGGGGGUGCUUUCAGCAGUAGUUAUUUUGGUGCAAGUAAGCCAUCUCAAGUAAGACCUAGCCAGAGUGGGACUUCCUACUCUAGUGCAGCUGUUGGCAGUUCACAGGCCACACAUGCAGGAUCUUUCCAAAUGUCAGGGGGCAGGUCCGAACUGUUCUCUCCCUCCAGGCCAGCCCAGACUGCGUCUUCCCCUGUUCAGAGCAGGUAUCGGCCAUCCCAGGUAGGACCCAGCCGAAGGACUGGAUACCAGAGCUACCAGCAAACCUCUGGGUCUCCGCAGACUACAUACCACCCUGUACAGAGCAACUACCCGUCAUCCAUGGGUAACUGGAAACCACAAGCUGUAUCUAGACCAGUGGGGAGUACCCAGGAACAAGCAUCUCCAGCCAAGCCAGCCCAGAGAAGUUCCAACCCUGGCAGUCAGAACUGGCAGUCUCCAUCGGUGUCUAGUGGUCAUCAAUAUGCUGAACCUGAGCAAAACGGGCAAACCUCCAGACCAGCACAGGGUAACUACCAGCACUCCCAGACUAGAUUUACACAAAGCUCCGCGGCCCAACACACUGAUGGCACCAGGAAACCAGCAGCUGCUGCUAAUCCAGUCCAGAGCUGGCACUCUCCUUCAGUGUGUCCAUAUGCUAAGCGUGAUCAAAACAAGCAGACCUCCAGACCAGCACAGGGUAACUACCAGCCCUCCCAGACUAGAUUUACACAAAGCUCUGCGGCCCAACACACUGAUGGCACCAGGAAACCAGCAGCUGCUGCUAAUCCAGUCCAGAGCUGGCACUCUCCUUCAGUGUGUCCAUAUGCUAAGCGUGAUCAAAACAAGCAGACCUCCAGACCAGCACAGGGUAACUACCAGCACUCCCAGACUAGAUUUACACAAAGCUCUGAGGCCCAACACACUGAUGGCACCAGGAAACCAGCAGCUGCUGCUAAUCCAGUCCAGAGCUGGCACUCUCCUUCAGUGUGUCCAUAUGCUAAGCGUGAUCAAAACAAGCAGACCUCCAGACCAGCACAGGGUAACUACCAGCCCUCCCAGACUAGAUUUACACAAAGCUCUGAGGCCCAACACACUGAUGGCACCAGGAAACCAGCAGCUGCUGCUAAUCCAGUCCAGAGCUGGCACUCUCCUUCAGUGUGUCCAUAUGCUAAGCGUGAUCAAAACAAGCAGACCUCCAGACCAGCACAGGGUAACUACCAGCACUCCCAGACUAGAUUUACACAAAGCUCUGAGGCCCAACACACUGAUGGCACCAGGAAACCAGCAGCUGCUGCUAAUCCAGUCCAGAGCUGGCACUCUCCUUCAGUGUGUCCAUAUGCUAAGCGUGAUCAAAACAAGCAGACCUCCAGACCAGCACAGGGUAACUACCAGCACUCCCAGACUAGAUUUACACAAAGCUCUGAGGCCCAACACACUGAUGGCACCAGGAAACCAGCAGCUGCUGCUAAUCCAGUCCAGAGCUGGCACUCUCCUUCAGUGUGUCCAUAUGCUAAGCGUGAUCAAAACAAGCAGACCUCCAGACCAGCACAGGGUAACUACCAGCCCUCCCAGACUAGAUUUACACAAAGCUCUGAGGCCCAACACACUGAUGGCACCAGGAAACCAGCAGCUGCUGCUAAUCCAGUCCAGAGCUGGCACUCUCCUUCACUGUGUCCAUAUGCUAAGCGUGAUCAAAACAAGCAGACCUCCAGACCAGCACAGGGUAACUACCAGCCCUCCCAGACUCGAUUUACACAAAGCUCCGCGGCCCAACACACUGAUGGCACCAGGAAACCAGCAGCUGCUCCUAAUCCAGUCCAGAGCUGGCACUCCUUCAGUGUGUCCAUAUGCUAAGUCUGAGCAAAACAAGCAGACCUCCAGACCAGGGUAACUACCAGCCCUCCCGGAUUAGAUGUCUAGCCAGUUCUGUGGCCCAACACGCUGGUGGCACCAUGAAACCAACAGCUCCUAAGCCAGUCCAGAGUGGCUCAAGGCCUGAGGUUACGUCUCAGUCUGACAGAAUUCAUGGGCCAUCAUAUCCAAGUAAGCCAGUCCAGAGCAGUCGGCAACCAGGUCAAUUUCCCAAAACCUCUCCAGACACUAGAGCACUGUUGUGGGGUGGCUAUAGUUCUCCUCAUGGAAUUGCUUCAGGCAAAUUCAACUUGGGUCUUGCUCAGACUAAGGGCUAAAGGUAUGUUUUUCUGAAGUACUCUUUUAAUAGCUUUAUUGUUGAUGGACGUGCUGUUUACCUUUUUUCUUGGCUCUUCCUGAUUUUAGGCUUGGAGAAUGCAGUGUUUGAAUGAAGGUAAGCCCUGUGUCAAUGAACUUAAUUGAGAGGUUGCAAGAAGAUACAAGUGUUCUCAUGUAUUAACUGCCUUUUCUUGUUUCUAGAUGUUCCUUGAAAUGCAGCUUCAAUAAAUGUCUUUGCUUUAUA
ensembl:lncRNA